rnacentral:misc_RNA from 1 species
UUUAAGUUAUUAGUAAAAACAAAACCAUCAUCUUCCUGCCCUUAUCCCACUUAUGAAGGGUCGGCACAACAUGUUUUUCUCUUCCAUUCCUCUCUAUUUUUCGUCACUUCAGUGCUUACUCCUUUCUUUCUCAUAUCCUCACUCACACAAUCCAUCCAUCGCUUUUUCGGUCUGCCAAUCGCUCUUCGUCCUUCGACAUUCAUCCCUAACAUUCUUUUACCGACAUAGCGGUCAUCCCUCCUCAUUACAUGCCCAUACCACGCUAACCUAUUACUCCUUAUUUUCUCUGUCACAGGUGCUACUUUCAAACUUCCCCUUAUAUACUCAUUUCUAAUCCGAUCUUUCCUCGUUACUCCACACAUCCAUCUUAGCAUUCUCAUCUCGGCUGCGUGCACUCUUCUUUCAUCCGUCACUUUUGUUGCCCAACAUUCUGAUCCAUAUAUUACGACAGGUCUUAUG